rnacentral:rRNA from 1 species
UGUCUUUGGUUGGGGCGACCGCGGGGAACCAAAAAACCCCCACGUGGACUGGAAUUAUGCAAUUCCACAACUAAGAGCCC